UCCUAAACAAUUAUGAUUGGUGCUGAGAUUAUUGUUGCUGUUGCUCCAAGAGGAAAGUUGUUGCUACUAGGAAUUAAAAAUAAACGAAUGGUUUGUUGCGUUUAAUUACCGAGUUUUGGCUAAUUGAGAAUGUUCCUUACUUGGGAUGCAGUGCCUUGUAUACUUAUUUUCAGGUGUGUGGCACAUAUUAGAACUUCUCCAUGAGAAAUGAGAAAGGAGUUGAAUGAACAUGAUGGAGUUUGUAAUUUGUAGUUUACAUUUUGGAGAUUUAUAACUCCUUGUUUUUCUUGUCCUAUGUAUCUAUC